AAAUCCUUUUGCUGCAGGAUUAUUUCGCUGCAACCAUACUGGAUAAUUAAGAUCUUACAUCUGUACAUCUACAGUAUAUGUUUAAUUUGUAAUAUUAGACAAUGUGCAAAAUGUUUCCUCUUUUAGGAACUUGACCAUAAUAUGUGUUUUAUUUACAGGGCAAGAAGAGCCUGUUAACCCAAAGGUUUUUGAGAUUGUAGGAAAAACCGUUGGGUUGCUUUUCCUUUUCAGCCUGAUCGUAUUCUUUGCAUGGAGGAGGAGAACAUCUAGACUCCCCAGUGGGUUUGACAUGACAGACCGUUCACAGGGACAGAACUCCCCAGUUGGGACAGUAUGCUCCAACCAGGCCAGGGUCAGGAGUGGGAACCAGGAACCACCCCAUAUCAACCUUGAUGGGCUUUAUGCCAACGGGAAUUAAGUGUUUUAUGUACAGUAUAUCAUUGUGUAUCUGUUUUCUGUUGGUGCGUUUGUUACAUUUAUAAUUGUGUGCUCUUUGAUUAUCUGCAUUUUUGGACCUUUAUUUUGGACCAUUUAUUUUGAAUGUUGCGUUCAGAGCAUCCGUUUAAUGGGUUCCAGUAUAAAGGAACUGCUGAGUUCAACUAGCCUACUGAAGGCAGUAAGACCUGAAAAUGACUGUCUAGGAAUGAUCAACAACCAACUUGAUAGAUCUUGAUGAAUUUUUAAAAAGAAUUAUGUGCAAAUAUUGUACAAUCCAGGUGUGCAAAGCUCUUAGACUUACCCUGAAAGACUCACAGCUGUAACAUACAUUGAC